GAUGAACGCUGGCGGCGUGCCUAAUACAUGCAAGUCGAGCGAACGGACGAGAAGCUUGCUUCUCUGAUGUUAGCGGCGGACGGGUGAGUAACACGUGGAUAACCUACCUAUAAGACUGGGAUAACUUCGGGAAACCGUAGCUAAUACCGGAUAAUAUUUUGAACCGCAUGGUUCAAAAGUGAAAGACGGUCUUGCUGUCACUUAUAGAUGGAUCCGCGCUGCAUUAGCUAGUUGGUAAGGUAACGGCUUACCAAGGCAACGAUGCAUAGCCGACCUGAGAGGGUGAUCGGCCACACUGGAACUGAGACACGGUCCAGAUUCCUACGGGAGGCAGCAGUAGGGAAUCUUCCGCAAUGGGCGAAAGCCUGACGGAGCAACGCCGCGUGAGUGAUGAAGGUCUUCGGAUCGUAAAACUCUGUUAUUAGGGAAGAACAUAUGUGUAAGUAACUGUGCACAUCUUGACGGUACCUAAUCAGAAAGCCACGGCUAACUACGUG
rnacentral:rRNA from 1 species